rnacentral:piRNA from 1 species
UCUGAUGCCAAACCAAAAUUCAGGGUGAGC